rnacentral:rRNA from 1 species
UACGUAGGGGGCAAGCGUUGUCCGGAAUCAUUGGGCGUAAAGGGCGCGUAGGCGGCCACCGCAAGUCAGUUGUGAAAUCUCUGGGCUUAACCCAGAACGGUCAGCUGAUACUGCGGGGCUAGAGUGCAGAAGGGGCAACUGGAAUUCUCGGUGUAGCGGUGAAAUGCGUAGAUAUCAGGAGGAACACCGGCGGUGUAGACGGCUUUCUGGACCGUAGCUGACGCUGAGACACGAAAGCGUGGGUAGCAAACAGG